rnacentral:rRNA from 1 species
CGAACGGAAAGGUCUCUUCGGAGAUACUCGAGUGGCGAACGGGUGAGUAACACGUGGGUGAUCUGCUCUGCACUUUGGGAUAAGCCUGGGAAACUGGGUCUAAUACCGGAUAGGACUAUGGGAUGCAUGUCCUGUGGUGGAAAGCUAUUUGCGGUGUGGGAUGGGCCCGCGGCCUAUCAGCUUGUUGGUGGGGUGAUGGCCUACCAAGGCGACGACGGGUAGCCGGCCUGAGAGGGUGUCCGGCCACACUGGGACUGAGAUACGGCCCAGACUCCUACGGGAGGCAGCAGUGGGGAAUAUUGCACAAUGGGCGCAAGCCUGAUGCAGCGACGCCGCGUGGGGGAUGACGGCCUUCGGGUUGUAAACCUCUUUCACCAUCGGCGAAGCCUUCAAGUGUUCUUGGGGGUGACGGUAGGUGGAGAAGAAGCACCGGCCAACUACGUGCCAGCAGCCGCGGUAAUACGUAGGGUGCGAGCGUUGUCCGGAAUUACUGGGCGUAAAGAGCUCGUAGGUGGUUUGUCGCGUUGUUCGUGAAAUUCCCUGGCUUAACUGGGGGCGUGCGGGCGAUACGGGCAGACUGGAGUACUGCAGGGGAGACUGGAAUUCCUGGUGUAGC